rnacentral:lncRNA from 1 species
UCUUUGUUUCUCUCUCUCUCUCUCCAAUUUCACUCGUUGGAUAAUUGUAGGAGGCGAGAACAUACCUUUGAUUUUCUCUUUCCAUAGACUUUCUUCAUCCCCUUAGCAAUCUCUCUCCUCUCUUUCAUGACUUGUGAAUCUAAUAUCAUGAUUUCUCCCCCAUCAUCAAAUAGAUUAGGCCUGAAAACAUGAGUAGAUCUAGUUCGAGUAUCUCUCUCCUUUCCAUGUUGGUUGACUGAGACUAAAUAGAUCAUGCCUUGAUUAAUCCC